GAGUUUGAUCCUGGCUCAGGACGAACGCUGGCGGCGCGCUUAAAACAUGCAAGUCGAACGUGAAGCCGGGGCUUGCCCCGGUGGAAAGUGGCGAACGGGUGAGUAACACGUGAGGAACCUGCCCCGGAGACCGGGAUAACCCAGGGAAACUUGGGCUAAUACCGGAUGUCUUCACCGAAUCGCAUGGUCUGGUGAAGAAAUGGAUUCCGCUCCGGGAUGGCCUCGCGGCCUAUCAGCUUGUUGGUGAGGUAACGGCUCACCAAGGCUUCGACGGGUAGCUGGUCUGAGAGGACGAUCAGCCACACUGGGACUGAGACACGGCCCAGACUCCUACGGGAGGCAGCAGUUAGGAAUCUUGCACAAUGGGGGAAACCCUGAUGCAGCGACGCCGCGUGCGGGACGAAGGCCCUCGGGUCGUAAACCGCUUUCAGCAGGAACGAAAUUGACGGUACCUGCAGAAGAAGCCCCGGCCAACUACGUGCCAGCAGCCGCGGUAAUACGUAGGGGGCGAGCGUUGUCCGGAUUCAUUGGGCGUAAAGAGCUCGUAGGCGGUUCGGUAAGUCGGGGGUGAAAU
rnacentral:rRNA from 1 species